rnacentral:rRNA from 1 species
UACGGAGGGGGCUAGCGUUGUUCGGAAUUACUGGGCGUAAAGCGCGCGUAGGCGGCUUUGUAAGUUAGAGGUGAAAGCCCGGAGCUCAACUCCGGAACUGCCUUUAAGACUGCAUCGCUAGAAUCAUGGAGAGGUGAGUGGAAUUCCCAGUGUAGAGGUGAAAUUCGUAGAUAUUGGGAAGAACACCGGUGGCGAAGGCGGCUCACUGGCUCGUAUCUGACGCUCAGGCGCGACAGCGUGGGGAUCAAACAGG